rnacentral:rRNA from 1 species
UACGGAGGGUGCAAGCGUUGUCCGGAGUCACUGGGCGUAAAGGGCGCGUAGGCGGCUCAUGAAGGCUGUGGUGAAAGUCCGGGGCUCAACCUCGGAUCGGCCGUGGCGACUCGUGGGCUGGAGCACUGUAGAGGCGGGUGGAAUUCCGGGUGUAGCGGUGGAAUGCGUAGAGAUCCGGAAGAACACCAGUGGCGAAGGCGGCCCGCUGGGCAGUGGCUGACGCUGAGGCGCGACAGCGUGGGGAGCAAACAGG